rnacentral:rRNA from 2 species
UAUACCGUGAAACUGCGAAUGGCUCAUUAAAUCAGUUAUCGUUUAUUUGAUAGUACCUUACUACUUGGAUAACCGUGGUAAUUCUAGAGCUAAUACAUGCUGAAAACCCCAACUUCGGGAGGGGUGUAUUUAUUAGAUAAAAAACCAACGCCCUUCGGGGCUUCUUGGUGAUUCAUGAUAACUUUACGGAUCGCAUGGCCUUGCGCCGGCGACGGUUCAUUCAAAUUUCUGCCCUAUCAACUUUCGAUGGUAAGGUAUUGGCUUACCAUGGUUUCAACGGGUAACGGGGAAUUAGGGUUCGAUUCCGGAGAGGGAGCCUGAGAAACGGCUACCACAUCCAAGGAAGGCAGCAGGCGCGCAAAUUACCCAAUCCCGACACGGGGAGGUAGUGACAAUAAAUACUGAUACAGGGCUCUUUUGGGUCUUGUAAUUGGAAUGAGUACAAUUUAAACCUCUUAACGAGGAACAAUUGGAGGGCAAGUCUGGUGCCAGCAGCCGCGGUAAUUCCAGCUCCAAUAGCGUAUAUUAAAGUUGUUGCAGUUAAAAAGCUCGUAGUUGAAACUUGGGUCUGGCUGGCAGGUCCGCCUCACCGCGUGUACUUGUCCGGCCGGGCCUUCCUUCUGGAGAACCUCAUGCCCUUCACUGGGCGUGUUGGGGACCAGGACUUUUACUUUGAAAAAAUUAGAGUGUUCAAAGCAGGCCUUUGCUCGAAUACGUUAGCAUGGAAUAAUAGAAUAGGACGUGCGGUCCUAUUUUGUUGGUUUCUAGGACCGCCGUAAUGAUUAAUAGGGACAGUCGGGGGCAUCAGUAUUCAAUUGUCAGAGGUGAAAUUCUUGGAUUUAUUGAAGACUAACUACUGCGAAAGCAUUUGCCAAGGAUGUUUUCAUUAAUCAGUGAACGAAAGUUAGGGGAUCGAAGACGAUCAGAUACCGUCGUAGUCUUAACCGUAAACUAUGCCGACUAGGGAUCGGGCGAUGUUCUUUUUCUGACUCGCUCGGCACCUUACGAGAAAUCAAAGUU